ACUUUAUCUUUUUCAAUUUGAUAAUCUGUAUUCUUGCUUGGUCUACAGUCAUGCCUUGCCUAUCACAUGAUCAGAAGUUCAGAACAGUAGUACAUCCUCGUCAUCAUCAUCAACAUCAUCAUCUUGUUACACCAACUUCAGCACUGUGCAUAAUUUGAUUUUAAAAACACUUAGCCUUCUUACCAGUCUCUUAGCCAUGUACAACCAUUCAGAAUCACGCACAAUCAUUAGGACAUGGAAGAAGACGAUUUUUUUAUUCAAGAUUCUUUAAUUGUUUUUGGCAAACAUUUAAUGUAGGUGAAAGAUCGUCAGUAAUAAUCAUUUAGGCACUAACUGUUUUCUUUUCUUCAUUUUUUAUUGUUUUUAAAAUACAAAGAGAAUGAGAGUUUUGAUUUGAUGUAUAGUGAAUUAGUGAUUGCCACAGUAUGUAAGAAGGAAAAAAAACAGAAAGAAGAAAAAGAAUUUUUAAUUCAUGAGAGAAUUCCAAAGCCUCUCUUGCCUGGUUC